CACGUAGGGCGCAAGCGUUGUCCGGAAUUAUUGGGCGUAAAGAGCUCGUAGGCGGUCUGUCGCGUCGGUCGUGAAAACUUGGGGCUUAACCCUGAGCUUGCGGUCGAUACGGGCAUGACUGGAGUUCGGUAGGGGAGACUGGAAUUCCUGGUGUAGCGGUGAAAUGCGCAGAUAUCAGGAGGAACACCGGUGGCGAAGGCGGGUCUCUGGGCCGGUACUGACGCUGAGGUGCGAAAGCGUGGGGAGCAAACAGG
rnacentral:rRNA from 1 species